rnacentral:rRNA from 1 species
GAUGAACGCUGGCGGCGUGCCUAAUACAUGCAAGUCGAGCGAACAGAUGAGGAGCUUGCUCCUCUGACGUUAGCGGCGGACGGGUGAGUAACACGUGGAUAACCUACCUAUAAGACUGGGAUAACUUCGGGAAACCGGAGCUAAUACCGGAUAAUAUAUUGAACCGCAUGGUUCAAUAGUGAAAGACGGUUUUGCUGUCACUUAUAGAUGGAUCCGCGCCGCAUUAGCUAGUUGGUAAGGUAACGGCUUACCAAGGCAACGAUGCGUAGACGACCUGAGAGGGUGAUCGGCCACACUGGAACUGAGACACGGUCCAGACUCCUACGGGAGGGAGCAGUAGGGAAUCUUACGCAAUGGGCGAAAGCCUGACGGAGCAACGCCGCGUGAGUGAUGAAGGUCUUCGGAUCGUAAAACUCUGUUAUUAGGGAAGAACAAAUGUGUAAGUAAAUAUGCACGUCUUGACGGUAACUAAUCAGAAAGCCACGGCUAACUACGUG